rnacentral:rRNA from 1 species
AUUGAACGCUGGCGGCAUGCCUUACACAUGCAAGUCGAACGGCAGCGCGGGAGCAAUCCUGGCGGCGAGUGGCGAACGGGUGAGUAAUAUAUCGGAACGUGCCCAGUAGUGGGGGAUAGCCCGGCGAAAGCCGGAUUAAUACCGCAUGAGACCUGAGGGUGAAAGCGGGGGAUCGCAAGACCUCGCGCUAUUGGAGCGGCCGAUAUCAGAUUAGCUAGUUGGUGGGGUAAAGGCCUACCAAGGCAACGAUCUGUAGUUGGUCUGAGAGGACGACCAGCCACACUGGGACUGAGACACGGCCCAGACUCCUACGGGAGGCAGCAGUGGGGAAUUUCGGACAAUGGGCGCAAGCCUGAUCCAGCAAUGCCGCGUGCAGGAAGAAGG